UACAGAGGUCUCAAGCGUUGUUCGGAUUCAUUGGGCGUAAAGGGCUCGUAGGCGGUUUGUCGCGUCGGGAGUGAAAACCAGGUGCUUAACACCUGGCUUGCUUUCGAUACGGGCAGACUAGAGGUAUGCAGGGGAGAACGGAAUUCCUGGUGUAGCGGUGAAAUGCGCAGAUAUCAGGAGGAACACCGGUGGCGAAGGCGGUUCUCUGGGCAUUACCUGACGCUGAGGAGCGAAAGUGUGGGGAGCGAACAGG
rnacentral:rRNA from 1 species